GUUUCUAUAGCGCAAUGGUUAGUGUGUUGGACUUGUAAUCCAAAGGUCGUGAGUUUGAGUCUCACCUGGGAUG